rnacentral:misc_RNA from 1 species
UGGUUCUGGCAUCGAUGAAGAACGCAGCGAAAUGCGAUAAGUAAUGUGAAUUGCAGAAUUCAGUGAAUCAUCGAAUCUUUGAACGCACAUUGCGCCCCUUGGUAUUCCGGGGGGCAUGCCUGUUCGAGCGUCAUUUCAACCCUCAAGCAAAAAAAAGCUUGGUCUUGGGCAUUGCCGUGGACGGCUUGCCUUAAAAUCAGUGGCGGCGCCAUUCGGCUCUACGCGUAGUAAUUAACCCUCGCGAUUGAGACUUGCGUGGAUGCUUGCCAUCGUAACACCCAAUUUUUUAUGGUUGACCUCGGAUCAGGUAGGGAUACCCGCUGA